rnacentral:rRNA from 1 species
CAGCAGCCGCGGUAACACGUAGGUCCCGAGCGUUGUCCGGAUUUAUUGGGCGUAAAGCGAGCGCAGGCGGUUAGAUAAGUCUGAAGUUAAAGGCUGUGGCUUAACCAUAGUACGCUUUGGAAACUGUUUAACUUGAGUGCAAGAGGGGAGAGUGGAAUUCCAUGUGUAGCGGUGAAAUGCGUAGAUAUAUGGAGGAACACCGGUGGCGAAAGCGGCUCUCUGGCUUGUAACUGACGCUGAGGCUCGAAAGCGUGGGGAGCAAACAGGAUUAGAUACCCCAGUAGUCCCUGUCUCUUAUACC